GUCUUCUUAUUCCUUACACAAAGACUUACAAAAAAAAAAAACCUCGAACCUAAUAUACAAAAGGGAGCAGCCAUCUUCACGAAGAAGGGAACACACUAGCGGAACCCUAGAACCCCAUACCUAGACAGCCGCCGCCCACCACUUGAAGCCGCCGCGCCAGAAACCAAACUCGCCGGAAAAACGCACACAGCCCUCCCUAAUCUCCCAUCUUCUCCACAUCUCCAAGCCCCAUCGCCCACCCCAUCUCUCGCACACAAGACGUAAGACCAAAAUCUGAAGAUCACAAGACAAACCCUCCACCUAAAAUGAACCAGUCGUCGCUCUUCUAUACACCACCACAGCCGCCGCUCCCUUACCGCCAAGCACUGGAAUACGGCGAGUUAGCAACCACCAGCACCGCUGCUGUCUCUCUUCCCUCGUUGCUGUCGCGUGCCACUCCCUUCUUCUCACAGUCGCUACUCCGUUUAGUUGCUGAAGUAGUGUUCUUAGGAAUGACUGUCUCAGACAGGCGUGGCUUUGUUUGUGUGUGCUUUCGUCGGAAAAUGCUUUUUCAGUGAUUUGCUAUGCUCUACUACCCCGUUUAUUAUCUUCUGGAUACGCUGUGCUUUGGUUGAAUUUUUCAGCGAUUUGCAUCUUCUCGUUCUGUUCCCGUCGUUCUUUUUUGGGAAAUACUGUCGUUGCUCCUUUGAGACCAUCUUCAGUCAUUAAUUGGUGUUUUAAUUUCUGUUGAGUUCCGAGUUCGUCGAAAGUCGUAGUCCGAGGUUUCCGGGCAGAUUCGCGGUUCCUGCUCGAGCUUCAAGUUCUGUAUUUGUUCGUGGUUGUGUUAUCUACCGGAGGUCAUUUUCAUAUUUGUUCGUUCAAGCCAAGAAAAGUUAAUUAACAGAAGUCAUCUUUUGAGGUACCCGUUAUGGUGCUAGUUUGAGGAAGUAGAUUAAGAAGAUGGAGGUCAGCCAGCAUAGCAAGUAUUUCUGUGAGUUCUGUGGAAAGUACGCUGGGAAGAGGAAGGCUGAUGGUAUUUGGGGUUGCAAAGAUUGUGGCAAAGUCAAAGCAGGGGGUGCCUACACAUUGAAGUAAUUUUUAUCUAAAACUUUAGCUAAACAUGCUGAAUUCAGCAAAUAUAGAAUAAAACUCCAGCUAGUAGAAUGCUUAAGUUCAGCAAUUACAAAUAAAAACUUUAGCCAACACUAAGUUUACGCGAAAAACUUAAGCUAAAACAUGUUGAAGUUCAGCAUAGGGCUGGGCAUAUAUUGGGUAAAACCGAUAACUCGAACUAUUAAUUGUUUAUUGAGUUAUCAGUAUCGAAUUAUUGGGUUAA